AUUUCCCCAUGAUGUUUUGCUGGGCUCUGACCUCCCCUGAGGACACGGUGCCCCUGGGACCUGACACCCAGGAGUCGGCGAGGU